UUCUAUUAACCUUUCCAGAACCACAUAAAUUGCCUUCAAUUAGUUGUCAUUCUAAUUAGAGUCACACAGAGAAGCCUUUGUUUAUUCUGGGCGGCUGUUCCUUUUUCCCCUCUGGAGCAGGUCCUCCUGAAGAAGUGGCCGUUUGGAAAAUUGCUGUUUUGACGUGUGUGAGCUCCCUUCGUCACAAACAUGGAGAGGCUGGAGCUGGAGGAAGUGGCCUCGAAUGUGAUCGCAGGGCUGGCCUCCGUGUCGGCUGUCGCCAGCUGGAUUCUGAGGUGCAGGUGGCCGUGCGGAGGGGUGGAGCUGAGCCUCAUCCUGAGUGUCUGCAGUGUCCGUCUCCUGCAAGCCAGCACUCCGAGGCUCCUGGUUAGUAGUCACCUCCAAAGGUGGGUAGGACUGUGCAAUAAGGCUAUGAGUUCCCCCUCUAGGGGUUUACCUGUACCUUGUCAUCUAGCAUAUUUUCCUGUUUGUUUUCCAGGCUGAACAUGGAUGAGACGUGUUACAACCCAGGCAGACUGUAAGCUAAUGCAGGAUUCCACAAGGGGGCAGCUGCAGACCCCUGGAACCUGAGAGGUGAAGGUAGGCUCGUCUGUUGACUAGCUGUGGACAAAGCCAGCAGCACUAACCUUCCCCUUCGCUUGUAUAUCUUUGGAACUCUGGUAUCGGCUGGUCUUUGCAAAGCUACAAGCUUGGAGGCCCCUUGGUGUCGUCUGACAUUUGGGUAGACGGUGUUGAAAACAGGUGUGUUACUGAAUGAGGUGUGCUUGUCGCCACGGCACACCAGGAGCAAUCUGUGACUCUGGUCUUUAGGGAGGAGAGAGGUUUGAUUUGCAUUGCUUACCAGCAGGGAGGCAGAUAGGAACCAAGUUUGUUUCCCCAACUAGUCUUGGCAAGGAGUUGUUAGAGCAUGUUUGCAUGAAAGAGGGAAGGAGUGCCCGUGCUGGUUGGCUUUGAAGUUCCUCUUCCGUUUGAGUGUAUCUGAGGAGACUGGGCACCCACCCCUCACUUGGAAGUAUCUUCCUCUCGGUGCUGGAUUCUUUGCUUCUGCUGAACCCGAAGGCUUAGCUCCUGGCUCACCUGGGGUCCUGCAACGAUGAGUUGGACAGCUUGUGUUUAAGUCCUUGAGUAACUUUCCUUGGAAAAUAGCAGCUUUUAAAAGAUGUGAUCAGAAUGUGGCUCAAUCUGUUGUUGCAGAAUACAUUAGGGGGAUUUCCGGAAGGAACUGGGAAGCCUCGUAGGAUGCCUCUGAGUUUUGGGGUUGUUAAGAGGAGAGCUGACUCUGCCUGAGCAGACAGAUGUGCUUCAGCCUUGCAUCUGGGAGCAGCAGCCUGACCUGGCUUCCCCGUGUUACCAGCCCGCCCAGCUGCUUCAGAGUCACUUCCUGAAGUCUGGCUGCAUCCUUAGCUGUCCUCGUUUCCCAGCUUCUGGUUGUCAAUGCUCCUCUUACGGCUUCCUUUUGGCUAGCACAUGUGCCAUUUGUCCAUUCCCCGGGGCUUGGCCAUGAGAGGACCUCAAGUGACCUGAGUGCAGGACCCUUUCUCCCUGUUGGACUCGGACAUACACCUGGUUCUGUCAGCAUUCAUCCUGCAGUCACUGUGUCAGAUUCCACACUGGGCAAUAGGAACCCAGAGAAAGAACGCUCUAGAGGCGUGCCUGGGCCCCAGCGAGGGGAGGGGGCACGACGGCAAGGAAGAUCUCAGAGUGCCACCACUGAGGCUGCCCGCUGGCUAGGUAGGUGAGUGGUGGCAGGGAACAAAGAGAAG